rnacentral:miRNA from 1 species
GGAUGCCCAAUUAAAUUUGCACUUCAGAUCAACAAUAAAUUUUUUUUAGUAUAAGUAUAACCCAUGCAAUAUUUGGGACAUACGUAUACUAAAAUAUUUUCUUUACCGGAAAUUAUAAUUUAACUGG